GGCGGCCCGUGGGUCCCGACGGUAGCCCGCCCGCGGCGGAGGCAGACGCCGUCCCGAGGCUCCGCUGCCUGCGUGACUUUCGGGUCAUGGCAACCUGUGUGUGAUUCAUCUGGAAGAAGACUAUAACCAUUGUGAUGCCUGAGACUCAAGCGUGACGUUCUCCAGGUACUUCAUGGUGUCCUCCUCCGUCUUUCCCACACCUCUCCACACGGCUUCUGAACCAUGGGGGAGAACGAGGAUGAGAAGCAGAGCCAGGCAGGGCAGGUUUUUGAGAACUUUGUCCAGGCGUCCACGUGCAAAGGUACCCUCCAGGCCUUCAACAUUCUCACACGGCAGCUGGACCUAGACCCGCUGGACCACAGGAACUUCUAUUCCAAACUCAAGUCCAAGGUGACCACCUGGAAGGCCAAAGCCCUGUGGUACAAACUGGACAAGCGCGGCGCUCACAAAGAGUACAAGCGAGGGAAGUCGUGUACGAAC